rnacentral:lncRNA from 1 species
GUGUAGAAGACUCUGAAGAUCCAGAAGCCGAAUAGUGGAAACUCUGAAGUCCAGAAGCAAGAAACUCUGAAGGCCAUGUUCUUCCCUCUGAGUUCAGAAUCAGAAGAAACAAUGGUCAGAGGAUCUGUGCUUUCCCUCUGACUCUGAUCAACCGGCUUCACAAGUUCCAAUACGAAGCAUUCCUCUGAUCAGAAGUCUCCUAGGUUAAAAGGUCAAGUCGCUAUCCAAGUACAAAAGCAAGUGUACCUUCCUGACGACCUACCUAACGUUCUCAGCCACAGCAGAAGCUGGAUUUUCCAGAACUGCCCUCCAACGGUAGCAUUUCCCAUGCAUUGCUCAACCCUAAUCCUUGGAGUAUAUAUAGAGGCUGAAGAUUGAAAGAAGCGGCUAGAAGCAAUACAUACGCGCAAGACAUAUUCAAAUUAUUCUAAGCUUUCUUUCAUCUGAAAUUCAUUGAGUUUACUAUUAGCUUUUUAGAAGCAAAUCUCUUGUAAACAAUUCUUUGAUAAACAGUUUGUUUAGUUCCUUUAGGAGAUCAAGGUUGAUCGGAUCCUAGAGAAGACUAAGAGAGUGAAUCUUAGUGUGAGCUAAGUCAGUGUAAUUGUUAGUCACUUGUAGGUUUCAAGUGCAGUUGUAACUCUUACCUGAUUAGUGGAUUGCCUUCAUUCUAAGAAGGAAGAAAUCACCUUAACGGGUGGACUGGAGUAGCU